UACGGAAGGUCAGCAGUGGGGAAUAUUGCACAAUGGGCGAAAGCCUGAUGCAGCUAUGCCGCGUGUAUGAAGAAGGCCUUAGGGUUGUAAAGUACUUUCAUCGGGGAGGAAAAACAAAACUAAUAAUUUUAUUUCUUGACGUUACCCGAAAAAGAAGCACCGGCUAACUCCGUGCCAGCAGCCGCGGUAAUACGGAGGGUGCUAGCGUUAAUCAGAAUUACUGGGCGUAAAGAGCACGUAGGUGGUUUUUUAAGUCAGAUGUGAAAUCCCUGGGCUUAACCUAGGAACUGCAUUUUGAAACUGAAAUACUAGAGUAUCGUAGAGGGAGGUAGAAUUCUAGGUGUAGCGGUGAAAUGCGUAGAUAUCUGGAGGAAUACCUGUGGCGAAAGCGGCCUCCUAAACGAAUACUGACACUGAGGUGCGAAAGCGUGGGGAGCAAACAGGGAUUAGAUACC
rnacentral:rRNA from 1 species